AGAAAACCAUUUUUUUUUUGUUAUAUAAAUUAGAUAGUUUGUCAAAUUAAAUUUAUUGUUAAAAAAUGCCUAAAGUAAAAAAAAUGGAUGAAAGUAAAAAAGAUAAAGUCAAGCGAAAACUGUUUGAAAAACCUGUAGCUGUAAGUUUUUGUUUUUUAAAAAAAAAAUGUUUUGUAUUUUUUUUUUGAAGUGGUUGUGUUUUUUUUCUAGAUUGUCAAACCCUAUGUACCAGAAAACAUCUAUAAAGCUCCUCAAAUCUAUGUUCCUCAAGUGGUUGAAACAAGACCACUUGAGGAAAUAGAUAAACGAUUGUAUGAAGGAGAGCUGGAAUUAAUUGAGGAUAUUCCAGAAAUAGACGAUGAACAAGUGCGUAUACUUGAUCAUAUUAUGAUGAGAAUCGAUCAUCAUUUAGAUGACAAUAAAAUGGAUAAAAAUGAUAGGUACUUUGCACUUAAUCGAGACGCGACAUCGAGACGCGAGAUAUGUUUAGGAUGCUGCCUGUGCGAAGAAGAAAGCGAGCACAAUCAUUGUUGUGUAACAACCGUGUGCCCGUACGUACAAGAACUAUUUGAACGGUGUCGCGGUUGUUGCUAUUGUAUAUAAAAAUUUGUAAAUAAUUGUAAAUUUGUAAAUAAAAAAUUCAUUUAUUAAAA